AGUAUUUAACAAAACCACACAUUUGUCCUGCAGGAAAGAAUGCUACAAGAAGUUGAGUCAUUCAAACAGGCUGCAUGGAACCACAUUUUUGUGUGGACUGAACCCCUUCAUGUGGCUCUUCACUUAAGCCACUUUCUGCUUUCCCUGUCUGUGCCGGUGGAACAAUAGCAGUGAAGUGAGAGCUGCAGCACAGGUCAGUCACACUGCUGUCGCCAACCCCGUCACACGUUGUCCUGAGAGAUGCGACUGAUGUCACCCACACUGCUGAGUCCUCAGUCUUUACAGUGUGAAAUAACUGCAGGGAACCAGGAGCACCAGACUUAUGUGUUCAUAAACAUUACAGAAAGUUCAAGGCUGAGGAUCCUGAGACAAAAGAGGCCCAUUAAGGCUGCCUGUCUGAUCAAGGAGACAAAGAGCUGUCUGUACUGCUGUGGAAGAAAACCAAAGUAAGAUCUCUCAUGUAAUUUAUUACAGAUUUAAGAAAUUGACUCCAACUUCCACCAAAGAAGCCUUUGGAACUGCAUAAAGACCAAUAGGAUUGUGGCCUUAGUCCUUUCUAACACCUCUUAAUUUAAAUAUAUGAUUGAUAUAGCAUGAGUAAGAUUUUUUUAAAAAUCUAAAACAUCUCUCCAUUUUAUACUUUUCUAGCACAGAUAGACCUAUUUUAAAAAAAGUUCCAGUAGCUUCUGCAUAAAUGAUAAAAGCAUUAUAGCCCCAGCAGUGCUUUGCAGGUACACAUAUUAACAUUUGAAUCUUAAAAUAUAAUUUGGGGCAUGUGCUCCAUCUUCAGAGGCUUUUCUGCAGAAGAGAAUUCCUGUGUUCACAUGCAUGAGGACAGCAUUUUUUGAGUGUGAGGAAAAAAAAAUCAUGAUGGUAAAUGUUAAUUCUUUUUUUCUGAAUAAGCACUUGGCAGUUUUAAUGUUACUAUAGGAAAUGUAUUUUUACACAAUAAAAACAUGAGAGAAUCAACA
rnacentral:lncRNA from 1 species